UACGAAGGGGGCUAGCGUUGUUCGGAAUCACUGGGCGUAAAGCGUACGUAGGCGGACCAUUAAGUCGGGGGUGAAAUCCCAGGGCUCAACCCUGGAACUGCCUUCGAUACUGCUGAGCUAGAGUACUGGAGAGGAGAUUGGAAUUUACGGUGUAGCAGUGAAAUGCGUAGAUAUCGUAAGGAAGACCAGUGGCGAAGGCGGAUCUCUGGACAGUUACUGACACUGAG
rnacentral:rRNA from 1 species